UUCCAGCUCCAAUAGCGUAUAUUAAAGUUGUUGCGGUUAAAAAGCUCGUAGUUAGAUUUCUGCUAGGUGCGAUCGGUCCACCCACUGGGUGUGUAUCUGUGUCGGCCUUGGCACCAUCCUGGCGAACGCAACUGCACGACUUUUACUUUGAGGACAUUAGAGUGUUUCAAGCAGGCGCACGCCUUGAAUACAUUAGCAUUGAAUAAUAAGAUAGGACCUGAGUUCUAUUUUGUUGGUUUCUGGAGCUGAGGUAAUGAUUAAUAGGGAUAGUUGGGGGCAUUCGUACUUAACAGUCAGAGGUGAAAUUCUUGGAUUUGUUAAAGACGGACUACUGCGAAAGCAUUUGCCAAGGAUGUUUUCAUUA
rnacentral:rRNA from 1 species